rnacentral:tRNA from 3 species
AUAAAAAUAAAUGAUUGUUUUUUUCGCAUUCGUAAUGCGAAGGUCGUAGGUUCGACUCCUAUUAUCGGCACCA